rnacentral:rRNA from 1 species
UACGAAGGGGGCUAGCGUUGCUCGGAAUCACUGGGCGUAAAGGGUGCGUAGGCGGGUCUUUAAGUCAGGGGUGAAAUCCCGGGGCUCAACCCCGGAACUGCCUUUGAUACUGGGUAUCUCGAGUCCGGAAGAGGUGAGUGGAAUUCCGAGUGUAGAGGUGAAAUUCGUAGAUAUGUGGAGGAACACCUGUGGCGAAGGCGCCUUGCUGGCCAAUUUCUGACGCUGAGGCGCGAAAGCGUGGGGAGCAAACAGG